rnacentral:rRNA from 1 species
GACGAACGCUGGCGGCGCGCUUAACACAUGCAAGUCGAGCGAAGCGGCGGACGGGUGAGUAACACGUGAGUAACCUGCCUUAGACAUUGGGAUAGCCUCGGGAAACCGGGAUUAAUACCAAAUGGUCUAAGAUGGACUCGCGUCCCAUUAGCUAGUUGGUGGGUAACGGCCCCCCAAGGCGACGACGGGUAGCCGGCCUGAGAAGGCGACGGGCCACAAUGGGACUGAGAGACGGCCCAAACUCGACGGGGGGCAGCAGGGGGGAAGCUGGCACAAUGGGGGAAACGCUGAUGCAGGAACGCCGCGUGCGGGAGGGCGGCCUUCGGGUUGUAAACCGCUUUCAGCCAUGACGCGGUAGUGGCAGAAGAAGCACCGGCUAACUACGUGCCAGCAGCCGCGGUAAUAC